rnacentral:rRNA from 1 species
AGAAUUUGAUCUUGGUUCAGGAUGAACGCUAGCUACAGGCUUAACACAUGCAAGUCGAGGGGCAGCAUUGGAGUAGCAAUACUUCAGAUGGCGACCGGCGCACGGGUGAGUAACACGUAUCCAACCUGCCGCUUACUCGGGGAUAGCCUUUCGAAAGAAAGAUUAAUACCCGAUGGUAUAAAGAGUUCGCAUGUUCUCUUUAUUAAAGAAUUUCGGUAAGCGAUGGGGAUGCGUUCCAUUAGAUAGUUGGCGGGGUAACGGCCCACCAAGUCUACGAUGGAUAGGGGUUCUGAGAGGAAGGUCCCCCACAUUGGAACUGAGACACGGUCCAAACUCCUACGGGAGGCAGCAGUGAGGAAUAUUGGUCAAUGGACGAGAGUCUGAACCAGCCAAAGUAGCGUGAAGGAUGACUGCCCUAUGGGUUGUAAACUUCUUUUAUAAGGGAAUAAAGUGAGGGACGUGUCCCUUUUUGUAUGUACCUUAUGAAUAAGGAUCGGCUAACUCCGUGCCAGCCGCGGC